UUACACAUCAGAUAUAUAUAUAUAUCUAUGUAUAUAUAUUUCAUUCUUUUAUACUUAAAAUUAAUUAGAAAAGAAGCAUACACAUUCCUGUCUUUCUUUUGGUUACUUCAGUAAAAAUGUCAGUGUUUCAGAAAAAUCAGUUCCUUCUUAUUUAUGGAAGAGUUUAUCAGAGCAUAAAAAUAUCUAUUGUUUAUAUUGCUGUAGAAUAUAUGUUGGUAACUUUCAUACACCAUUGAGAAAUGGUUCCAACCACUUGCAUUCUGGGUUUAUUCAUGAAACACAUAAAGUUACUGCUCUAUAUUUUCUCCUUUCUUCUCCAUAGGGGCAAAAGGACUAUAAAUUUACCAUCUGCUCUAAGACUUUCAUGCCAUAAAGACUGCAGUUAAAACUAUGGUAAUAGCUCAGUUCAGACAAGAAUGAUACCUUAAUUUUCAUUUCUUAUAGGUUUCCAACAAUGUCCAGAGAUUGUUUGAGUCCUGAGUAAGGAAAAACAAACAAAAUAAAACAAUGCAAGGUUGGAACUUCAAGCAUGGAAUGGCUGGAUUCUCUGCUCAGAAACUCAUGAUGCGGCUGAAACCAAGCAGGGGCCUACAUAGUCAUGAAAUGGGUAAAGUGGAGGUUGUACACAUGUGCACUGAAGUGUUUCAGUGGUGGACGCCUCAUCUGAGUAGGCAGCAUCCAGCCUUGUCAGGUACUCAUCCAGCUAAAGAUUGUGUUCUUGCAAAAGAGAACCUGCAACUUCUGUCUCACCAUCAUCAAUCCAGGUUAAAGCCACUAUGAGAAGCCGAGGAAGGCAGUACCCACGUGGGGAGAGUGGAAGAGGAACCAUGGUGAGCAGACCCUAGCUGGCGUUAGAACUGGAGCACGAAGAAGCAAGCGUAUUCAUAGGCGGGCUGGUUAAUGCAGAGUCAGCUGGGAGACCGUGUUUGGAGAUACCCUGGCAGGAGGUUUGGAACCAAAGCAGGGUCAACAAAGAAGACAGCUGUAGAUGAAUGAAACUUCCAUCUCUGAAAAUCAGUGGUACAUGUUGAAGAACACAGUUAAACCUGGUGCUGUCAAUAUCCAUUCAUAAUACACUAUUGAAAGUGAAAUUCAAAAGAUAUAUGAAUGAAAAGACUAUACAAAGGAUGGCUACAGAAAAAAGGAGAAUGCAAAGAAUGUGAGGAAUUGAAAUACUAAUGAAAAAGGUGGGGAAUACUUACUUCUCUAUAAAAAUAUAUAUUAAUGUAGUUUGCCUGUACAUGUUAUCAUUCGAUGAUAUACCAAUUUCAUAGUCAUAUUUUUUCCUUAAAUUGUCAUUAUUUACCUAUCUAUUUUUUCAAUUUGGCUGAAAAAAACUUACAUUAGAUUUUAUAAUUCACUCUACAUCAGUUGUAGGCAGUGCUAAGAAUGAAAUCUAUCUAAUGUGCUUUAACGCUUCCAUCAUUGGACAUUCUGCUAAAUUUCUCACAUAAUAAUUCCUGUGGAAUCUUUAAUAGUGUUUCAACAAAAAUAUUCCUGAAGAUGCUCUUUUUCAAUGCCUCUAGAUUUUCUUCAAUAGCUAUAACCUCUGAUUUUUUUAUUUCCUCCAUCUCUGGUCUUCCAGGAAAUAAAUGUAUAGAACAUACCUUCCAAAAUUUUUUUAUAUUGCUCUACUGUCAAAAAGAUAAACUGUAUUAGUGACAUGAUUAAAAUUGAAGUUGCUAGAAUGUGUUUUUAAAAUGCUCAGUUUAACAGGCAGUCAUUAAAAUGUUCAUAUUAAUUAACAUCUCUGUAGAUUAUAAUAUACUGUAAUGGCAUUAAAUAAUCUAGGCUGGCAGCCAUGUUGAAUGAGUAAAUUCUCAUUUCAGCUACAUUUAAUUAAACAGAUUUCCCCAAAUAUAAAGUGUACAAGGAUCCAGAUUAGAAAGUUGGUAAUGAUUAUUUUCAUGAGAUCCCAUAGGAAGUAUGAGAUGACAUUGACUAUUGGCAUUUUAAAAGGUUUCAAAGAAAGAUUGCUAGAAUUUAUUCCUGGGAUGCAAGGAUGAUUCAACAUACAUAAUCAAUUGAUGUGAUGCAUCAUAUCAAAAGAAUAAAGGAUAAAACCAUGUAAUCAUUUCAACUGAUGUGAAAAAGCAUGUGAUAAAAUUCAGCAUCCUUCAUUAUGAAAUCCUGAAAAAACUGGAGAUAGAAGAAACAUACCUCAACAUAAUUAAAAGCCAUAUAUGACUAACCCAGAGCUAGUACCACACUGAAAAAUGGAAAGUGUGGUACUAGCUGUGGGUUAGUCUAGUUUCCCAAAAAUGGGGAAAAAAUGGAAAUCCUUUCUUUUAAGAACUAGAACAUGACAAAGAUGCCUAUUUUUACCACAGUUAUUCAACACAGUACUGGCAGUCCUAACUAGAGCAAUCAGUCAAGAGAAAGAAAGGACAUCCAAACUGAAACAAAAGAAGUCAGAUUAUCCUUGUUUGUAGACAUGAUCUUGUAUUUGGGAAAACCUAAAGAUACCAACAUAAAUACUAGAACUAAUUUUAAAAGGUCAGUAAAGUUGCAGCAUAUUAAGUAAAAAGUCAGUAGCAUUUCUAAAUGCCAACAGUGAACAAUCUAAAAAAAAAAAUUAAAUAUCUCACUUAAAAUAGCCACAAAAAAAUUACAUACCCAGGAAUUAACCUAAGCAAAAAAGUGAAAGUUCUCUAUAAGGAAAAGUAUAAAAAACUAAAGAAAAAAACUGAAGAGGACACCAAAAAAUGGCAAAGUAUUUCAUGUUCAGGGUUUGGAAGAUUAAAUAUUGUUAAAAUAUCCCUACUCCCCAAAGCAAUAUAUAGAUUCAAUGCAAUCCCUAUCGAAAUAAGAAUGACAAAUUCUGCACAGAAAUAAAAACCAAAAUCCUAAAAUAUAUGUGGAACCCCAAAAGACCCAGCAUAGCCAAAGAUAUCUUAGGUAAAAAGAACACAACUGGAGGAAUUAUAUUACCUUACUUUGAAUUAUAUUACAGAGGUAUAGUAACCAAAACAGCAUGGUACUGAAUAGUAAAAAAUAAUAAAUAAAUAAACAUAGACCAAUGAAACAGAAUAGAAAACACCGAAACAAAUUCAUGUAAGUUCAUCUGUAGCGAACUUAUUUCAACAAAGUUUCCAAGAACGUGCACUGUGGAAAAGACAGUCUCUUCAGUAAAUGGUACUGGAAAAACUGGAUCUCCAUAUGCAGAAGAAUCAAACUAGACAUGUAUCUCUCACCUUAUACAAAAGUGAAAUCAAAAUCAAUUAAAGACUUAAAUCUAAGGCCUCAACCUAUGAAACUACUACAAGAAAACAUUGGGAAAAAUCUCCAGGACAUUAGUCUUGGCAAAUAUUUCUUGAACAAUACCUCACAAGCACAGGCAACCAAAGCGAACAUGGACAAAUGGGAUCAAAUGAAGUUAAAAAGCUUCUGCUUAGAAAAGGAAACUAUCAACAAAGUGAAAAACAACUUCCCAUCUGACAAGGGAUUAAUAACCAGAGUAUACAAGGAACUUAAACAACUCUAUGGGGAAAACAUCUAAUAAAAGUGGGCAAAAGAUUUGAAUAAACAUUUCUCAAAAGAAGACAUACAAAUGGCAAACAGGCAUCUGAGAAGGUGAUGAAUAUCACAGCUCUCUAAGCAUUUGUGAGAAAGAUAUCUAAGAAUGGGAUAUCUUCUCACUCCACAUAAAAUGGUUUACAUUCAAAAGACAGAUGAUAACAAAUACUGGUGAAGAUGUGGAGAAAAGGUAAUCCUUGUACCCUGUUGGUAGAAUGUAACUUAGCACAAUCAGUAUGGAGAACAGUUUCGAGGUUCCUCAGAAAAUUAGAAAUUGAGUUACCAUAUGAUCUAGCAUUCCCACUGCUGGGUAUAUCCUCAAAAGAAAGAAAAUCAGUAUAUCAAAGAGAUAUCUGUGCUCCCAUGUUUCUUUCAGCAUUUUUCACAAUAGCUGAUAUUUGGAAGCAAUGUGUCUAUCAGCAGAAGAACAGAUAAAGAAAAUGUUGUUCAUAACACAAUGGAGUACUAUUAAGCCAUAAAAAGAAUUAGAUCCUGUCAUUUGCAACAACAUGGAUGGAAUUAGAGGUCACUAUGUUAAGUGAAAUAAUUCAAGCACAGACACAAACGUCACAUCUUCUCACUUAUUUGUGAGACCUAAAAAUCAAAACAGUUAAACUCAUGGACAUAGUAUAAGGAUAGUUACCAGUGGCUGGGAAGUGUAGUGGGGUGCUGGCAGAGACAGGUAGAGGUAGUUAUUCAUACUUUAGAAAGUAUGAAUAAGAUGUACUAUUUGAUAAUAUGACAGGGUGAAUAUAGUCAAUGAUAAUUUAACUAUACAUUUAAAAAUACCCAAAAGAGUACAUUAGAUUGCUUUUUACACAAAUGAUAAAUGCUUGAUGGGAUGAAUGGAUAUUCCAUUUUUUAUGUGAUUAUCUCACAUUGCACGCCUGUAUGAGAAUGAACAUCUCAGCUAUCCCAUAAAUAUAUACACCUAUUAUGUGCCCACAAAUAUUAAAAAUUGGAAUAUUUAAAAAGAAUAAUUAGUACAAAGAAAGACUGAUAAACACUGGAGAUCAGAAACCACAAAUUUAAACUGUAUCAUGGUUAGCUAGGCUCAAAAAAAAAAAAACAGGAAAAAAUAUGAUUGGUAGGAUUAACAAAAGGCUAUUAACAUAUAUGAUUCUACAGAAUAUAGAAACGUUUUAAAGAAAUAAGAUGGCUAAAUGUGCAGUUAGCUACAAUUGUGGUUGAAUAAAAAAUACUUAAAAAAAAGGAACUAGGAGCUAAAAUUAAAAGAGUAGCAUAUGAAAGAGUGAGAGUAUUUACAAGCUUGUGAAAGCCAAAGAACAACAGAGGUAGAAAUAAGAGAUUAAGAAAAGUAGAAAGUUAGGAAUUUGUUAUGAAGGUUCAAUGAGUUUUUUGAAAUUAUGUAAAACAUUACUGAUAUGGUUUGGCUGUGUCCCCAUCCAAAUCUCAACUUGAAUUGUAUUUUCCAGAGUUCCCACCAGUUGUAGGAGGUACCCAGAUGGAGGUAAUUCAAUCACGGGGGCCAGUCUUUCCCAUGCUAUUCUUGGCAGUGAAUAAGUCUCCUGUGAUUUGAUGGUUUUAUCGGGGGUUUCUGCUUUGCUUCUUCCUCAUUUUGUUUUGCCACUCUCAUGUAAGAAAUGCCUUUCACCUCCCACCACGAUCCUGAGGCCUUCCAGUCAUAUGGAACCGUAAGUCCAAUUAAACCUCUUUUUCUUCCCAUUGUUGUGUAUGUCUUUGGUACCAGUGUGAAAAUGGACUAAUACAGUUAUGGUAUAAUCAAAUUCUAGAUUGAGAUAUGACCAAAUGAGCAAAGGAGAGAAAGUUCUUGGAAGGUGUGGAAAACAGGACAUAGAAGUUAGAGUGGUAUUGAGACUAUGAAACAAACACAUUCAUUUCAUCAUCUACAAAGACAUAACAUGAAGUUUUGUCAUGAGUCUGCAAUGAACAAGUCUACUGAUGUCAUUUGUCUAAAAGUAUGGGCUCACUUCAUGGCUCUGUGUCACAUUUUGGUUUUCCAUCACAGUUUUUCCACUACUUGGAUUUCUAAUAAAUUGUCAGCUGUAAACAUGCAAAUAUCAUUGUGAUAAAGAGUAUCAUAUAAGGUAUGGAGACUAUUUACAUAACAUCUUUAGUCUAGUGAGGUUUUACUCCUUAAAUAACGUUCAUCACUAUAUUCCCUUCCCACCCUAUUUUCACACUAAUUUCUUUGCUGUUAUUUUCAUUAGAUAUCUGUAGUAGUACUCUUGGUUUUCUCACCUUUUCUUACCCUCUUCAUGCUUACUUUUUAGUAUUAUUUGAGAUAUAAUAUAAAUAUUAGCACAUUAAUUCAAUAUAGUGACUCACUCAUUUUUAUUUGUUUAAAUUUUUUGACAUGGAGUUUCCCUCUUGUUGCUCAGGCUGGAGUGCAGUGGCACAAUCUCCACAACCUGGGCCUUGCAGAUUCAAGUGAUACUCCUGCCUCAGCUUCCUGAGUAGCUGGGAUUACAGGCAUGGGGCACCACACCCAGCUAAUUUUGCAUUUUUUAUUGGAGAUGGGGUUUCUCCAUGUUGGACAGCCUGGUCUCGAACUCCUGACCUCACGAUCCAACCACCUUAGCCUCCCAAGGUGCUGGGAUUACAGGAAUGAGCCACUGUGCCUGGCCUUAUUUUAAUAAUUUUUUUUUUCAGAUUUUAAAAAAUUUUGGGGAUACAUAGUAGGUGUAUAUAUGUAUGGGACUACACAAAAUAUUUUGAUAUAGACAUGCAAAUUGAAAUAAGCACAUCAUGAGGAAUGGAGUAUCCAUCCCAUCAAGCAUUUAUUAUUUGAGUUAUAAACAAUCCAAUUACAUGUUUUAAGUUACUUUAAAAUGUAUGAUUAUCAAAUAUAGACACCCUGUUGUGCUAUCAAAUAGUAGGUCUUAUUCAUUCUUUCCAAAUAUUUUCAUUCCUAUUAACCAUCCUCUCCUCCCCCAUUUCCCAGGCCUCCACUAACUUUCUCCACCUCUGAUAAUCAUCAAUCUAUUCUCUAUGUCCAUGAGUUCAAUUGUUUUGAUUUUUAUAACCCACAAAUAAGUAAUAACAUGUGAUGCUUGUCUUUCUGAACCUGGCUUAUUUUACUUAACAUAAUGAUCUCCUGUUCCAUUCAUGUUAUUUCAGAUUACUGGAUCUCUUUCAUUUUUAUGGUUGAAUGGCACUUUAUUGUGUAUAUGUACUACAUUUUCUUUAUUCAUUCUUCUGUUAAUGAACAUUUAAGUUGCUUCCAAAUCUUAGCCAUUAUAAACAGUGCUGGACAAACAUAAAAGUGCAUAUAUCUCUUUCAUAUACUGAUUACCUUUAUUUUGUGUAUAUACCCAGCAGUGGGAUUGCUGGAUCUUAUGGGAGCUAACAUUGUAGUUCAUUAAGAAGACUCUAAAUUGUUUUCAUAGUGGAUGCAGUAAUUUACAUUCCCACCAACAAGGGUUCUUUUUUCUCCACAUCCUCACUGGCAUUUGUUACUGCCUGUGUUUUGGAUAUAAGCCGAUUUAACUGAGGUCUGAAAAUAUCCCAUUGCAGUUUUGAUGUGCAUUUCUCUGAUGGUCACUGAUGUUGAGCACUUUCUCAUAUGCCUUUUUGCCACUUGUAUGUCUUCUUUUGAGAAUUGUCUAUUCAUAUCUGUUGCCCAUUUUUUUUAGCAGAUUAUCAGAUUUUUUUCUAUAGAGAAGUUUGACCUCCUUAUAUAUUCUUGUUAUUAAUCCCUUGUCAGAUGGGUAGUUUGCAAAUAUUUUCACCCAUUCUGUGAGCUUCCUUUUGUUUAUUGUUUCCUUUGUUGUGCUGAAGCUUUUUAACUUGAUAUGAUCCCUCUGUCCAUUUUUGCUUUGGUUGCCAGUGUUUGUGGGGUAUUUCUCAAGAACUCUUGGCCCAGACCAAUGUCCUGGGAUUUCCCCAAUGCUUUCUUGUAGUAGUUUCAUAGUUUGAGGUAUUAGAUUUAAGUCUUUAAUCUAUUUUGAUUUGAUUUUUUUUUUGUAGAUGGCAAAUGCUAGGGUUCUGGUUUCAUUAUUCUGCAUGUGAUUUAUUCAAGAGACUUUUCCCUAGUGUAUGCUCUUGGAAACUUCCUUGAAAAUGAGUUCACUAUAGGUGUGUGGAUUUGUUUCUGGGUUCUCUACUCUGACUCAUGUGUCUGUUUAUAUGUGAGUACCAUGACGUUUUGGUUGCUAUAGCUCUGUUUUUUAAUUUGAAGUUAGGUAAUGUGUAUCCUUUUUUCUUUUUCUUCUUUUUUUUUUUUGCUUAGGGUAUCUUUGGCUCUUCUGGGUCUUUUGUGGUUCCAUAUAAAUUUUAGGAUUGUUUUAUCUAUUUAUGUGAAGAAUGUCAUUGGUAUUUUGAUGUGAAUUGCUUUGACUCUGUAGAUUGCUUUUGGUAGUAUGUACAUUUUAACAAUACUGAUUUGUUCAAUCCAUUAACAUGGAAUAUUUUUCUUUUAGUGUUCUCUUCAAUUUCAUUUAUCAGUAUUUUAUAGUUUCAUUACAGAGAUCUUUUUUUAAGUAUUAAUUUUGUAUGUGUCAAUUGUAAAUGGACUUUUUUUUAAUUUGUUUUUCACAUUGUUCACUGAUGGGAUAUAAAAAUGCUAUCAUUUUUGCAGGUUGAUUUUUCUGUCUUGGAACUUUACUGAAUAUUUUAUCAGUUCUAAUAGUUUUCUCGUGGACACUUUGGGUUUUUUUCCAAAUAUACCAUCAAUAUACAUUUCGAAACAGCGAUAAUUUGAUUUUUUCCUAUCCAAUUUGGAUGCAUUUAUAUCUUUGUUUUGUCUCAUGGAUCCAGCAAAAGGUUGAAUAACAAUGGAAACAGUGAGCAUCUCUGUCAUGUUCCAGAUCUUAGAAAAAAGGUUUUCAUUUUUUCCCCAUUUAAUAUGACACUACCUAUGAUUUUGUGGUACAUGGCUUUUAUAUGUUGAUGUACGUGUCUUCUAGCCCCAGUUUUUUGAGAGCUCUUAUCAGUAAUGGUACAGUAUUUUAUAAAGUGCUUGUUCAGCACCAAUUGUAAUGAUCAUAUAGUUUUUAUUUUUCAUGCUGUCUAUACGAUGUAUCACAUUGAUUGAUUUUCAUAUGUUGAACUAUCCUUGCAUCACAGGGAUAAAUUCCACUUGGUCACGAUGAAUAAUCCUUCUAACAUAUUAUUGAAUAUGAUUUGCUAGUAUUUUGUUGAUUUUCACAUCAAUAUUUAUCAGAGAUGUUGGCCUGUAGUUUUCUUUUCCUUUUUCUUCUCUUCUUCUUUUCUUUUCUUUUCUUUUUUUUUUUUAAUGUAUCUUUGUCUGGUUCCAGUAUCAGGUUAAUACUGGCCUUAUAGAAUGAGUUUGGAAGCAUUUCCUCCUCCUCAUAUAGUUUCAGUAGGAUUGGUAUUCGUUCUUUUUUAAGUGUUUGAUAGAAUUCAGCAGUGAGGUCAUCAGGUCUCAAGCUUUUUUUACUGGGAUGUUUUUUUAUCAUUACUUAAAUCUCCAGUUCAGAUACUGCGCUUCUCCCAUGGUCUUUAUAGCCCAUAGACCAGGAGAUUCCUGUUGCAUUGAAUCCCUGAAUUGAUGAAACUAUUCCAAACAACACAAAAGAUGGAAUCCUCCCUAACUAAUUUCAUGAGACUAACAUCAUCCUGACUCCAAAACCUGACAGAGACACAACCAAAAAACAAAAAAAUUCAGGCCAAUGUCCAUGAUGAACAUUGAUGCAAAAAUCUCCAAUAAAAUAUUGGCAAACUGAAUGCAAAAGCACAUCAAAAAGCUCAUCCAUCAUGAUCAAGUAGGCUUCUCCACAUUUUCAACAGAUACCAGGUUCAUCUCAAUGGGACUGGUUGGACAGUGGGUGUAGCCCAAGGAGAGCAAACCAAGGCAGGGUGGGGUGCUGCCUCACCUGGGAAGUGCAAGGGGCAGAGGACCCCCCACCUCCCCGCUCCCACUCAACAGAGGCCAUCGGGGACGUUACCAGCCAUUCCUCCGGCACUCCAGUUCAGAUACUGGCUUCUCCCAUGGUCUUUACAGCCCACAGACCAGGAGAUUCCCACUGGAUUGACAAGCAGGUCAGGUUUCCAGCAUAAAACUGCACGGCUGCUGUAGCUGGCACCCGAACACCUGUGAGACAGAGCCGCCCAUUCCCCUGAAAAAAAGGGGGCUGAAGGCAGGGAGCCAAGUGAUCUGGCUUGGUGGGUCUCACCCCCAUAAAGACCAGCAAACUGAAACCCAUUGGCUUGAGAUUUUCACAGCCAGCACAGCAGUUUGAGCUCAGCCUGGGACAGUCAAGCUUGGUGGGGGGAAUGGCAUCUGCCAUUACCAAGGCAGUUCUAACCUUACCUGUGUAAGCAAAAUUUCAGGAACUCUUUUAUAUGGUAUUUGCUUUUUUUCUCUUGCUUCUUUCCAGAUUUUUUUUUUGUCUUUGACUUUUGACAGUUUAAUUACACUAUGUCUUAAUAUAAUGUUAUUUGUAUUGAAGCUCAUCAGAGAUCUUCCUAUAUCUGGAUUAUUUACAUCUAUCUCUAGGUUUGGAAGGUUUCCCCUGAUUAUUUCUUUAAAUACGCUUUCUAUCGAUUUAUUUUUCUCUUCUCUUGAACUCCAAUGACUCAAAUACUUACUUGUUCAAUACUAUCCCAUAAAUCCUAUGAGCUUUCUUUUCUUCUAUGCAUUUUUAAAAUAUCAGUGUUAUAUUUUUUUCUUCUGCUUAAUCAUUUCUGCUGUUGAUACUUUCUGUAUUGCAUUUUCAUGUUUUCCAUUGUAUUAUUUAGCUCCGAUUUUUAUUUCAUAUUUUUAAAAUG